UACAGAGGGUGCAAGCGUUGUCCGGAAUCACUGGGCGUAAAGGGCGCGUAGGCGGCCUGAUAAGUCGGGGGUGAAAUUCUGCGGCUUAACCGCAGGACGGCCUUCGAGACUGUCGGGCUUGAGCACGGUAGAGGCUGGUGGAAUUCCCGGUGUAGCGGUGGAAUGCGUAGAGAUCGGGAAGAACAUCGGUGGCGAAGGCGGCCAGCUGGGCCGUUGCUGACGCUGAGGCGCGACAGCGGUGGGGAGCAAACGGG
rnacentral:rRNA from 1 species